rnacentral:rRNA from 1 species
UACGAAGGGGGCUAGCGUUAAUCGGAAUACUGGGCGUAAAGCGUGCGCAGGCGGUUGUGCAAGACCGAUGUGAAAUCUCCGGGCUUAACUCGGAAAGGUCAACUGAUACUGCGCGGCUAGAGUGCGGAAGGGGCAACUGGAAUUCUCGGUGUAGCGGUGAAAUGCGUAGAUAUCGAGAGGAACACCUGCGGCGAAGGCGGGUUGCUGGGCCGACACUGACGCUGAUGCGCGAAAGCCAGGGGAGCGAACGGG